rnacentral:rRNA from 1 species
UACGAAGGGGGCUAGCGUUGUUCGGAAUUACUGGGCGUAAAGCGCGCGCAGGUGGUCUUUCAAGUCAGUGGUGAAAGCCCGGAGCUCAACUCCGGAAAUGCCAUUGAAACUGUGAGACUUGAGGAUGAGAGAGGUGAGUGGAAUUCCCAGUGUAGAGGUGAAAUUCGUAGAUAUCGAGAGGAACACCAGUGGCGAAGGCGAGUCUCUGGACGACUCCUGACACUGAGGCACGAAAGCUAGGGGAGCAAACAGG